GAAUGAGACUGUGGUUGGACUCUACCAGAAGUCUACUCUCAAGCUGCUAUCUUUCCUUUUCUUAAAUUAUGCUGGAGCUGAUUCAGACAGUGGAAAGGGCGGCAAAGGAGGAAGCAAGAAGAAGGGUUCAUCCUUCCAGACAGUGUCUGCCUUGCACAGGGAGAACCUGAACAAGCUGAUGACCAACUUGAGGUCUACUCACCC